GCGGCUCGUCAGAGGAGGCAAGGGAGGCUCAGCCUCCCCAUAAAUUUUUUACACACUCUACACUGUUUUGUUUAUCAUGAAUCGCGAAAACAACAAUCACUCUCACUAUUAUACAACGUGUAAAUUCCAUAUUAUCACUAAUUAUCCAUACGUACGGAGCAUUAGCAUUAGAACGCAUGAUCGCGUCUCAGUUUUAUUACAUAUUAGUGUAGGCAGGACCCUGGGUUAUCCCGAGAUGCAAGCACGGAGCCGAGAAGCCCGCAGUCUCCGUUGCUAAUGCUCCGUGCAGCGCAGCAGGCGUUUAAGGAGACCCGGUCUCCUAACAGUGGCAUCUACGGUCACGGUGCCAUCACACGCUGCCCGGAGAUAUACCAAGGGAGGCAGAGUAGCUUCUCGGCUCCGUUGCGUGCGUCUCGGGGCAACGAAUUUUAGGGUCCUGACUAAAAAUAAUGAAAAAUCUAAAAGUGCGAAUUUUGUUAUGAAAUUUGGUAUGUGGGGUUAUAAUAAUAUUUGGAACAACUUGCUCAAAUAACUUUUUCCGAUAUCUCUAACUCAAAGCAAAAUAUCGGUAAUUUAUCGUGUUUUUGAAUUCGCAGUAGGCCGCGUUUAGAAUUAAAAAAAUUCAGUUGAGUGUAACGUUUCAAUUAGCCGAUUGAACGCUACACCAAGCUCCGCUUGGUAUUUGUCCCUCGGACUAUAUAUUUCUAGAAGCGACCCUACUACCGUCAAGUCAAUUAGUACAUCUCUUCGAAGCUAUUUAAUGCGAUAAAAAUUUGUACUAGCUCCCUUUUGCCAUUGCCACGUAAAUCAGGCACAAUAAGGCAUACAUUAUCGUGUUUGUGUGUAGGCCGUUAAACAAUGGCCCCUACCUCGGGAAGAAGAUUUUAAUCAAGCACCUGGAAAAGAAAACCUUCUACCGCUACCUUGGAGAGCGAAUUAGCUUACAACCGUAUCCUGAUGCAGUAGAAUAAAUUAAACAAGACAGCCCUACAGAGACAAGACAGCCCAACAACGUAGCCCUAGACUUCCCUUAACUACCGGCGACGACAAAUUCUACAGGGAUUGGGGACCUCCUUUAGGAACUGUAACGGAAGGACUUAAAGCUGAGUAAAUUUUUACCUUUAUAACUUUUGUACCGAUUACCAGCGGGGUCUCGGUCACGGGCUUAGAAAAUUAACUUGGUUAUCAUCAGUAUACAAUAAAAAUGAUUUUUGUUAAGUUUUUUUUAUAUUUCAAUAAAUAGCGUAUUUAAAAAUGA